rnacentral:rRNA from 1 species
UGGGGAAUCUUGCGCAAUGGGCGAAAGCCUGACGCAGCCAUGCCGCGUGAAUGAUGAAGGUCUUAGGAUUGUAAAAUUCUUUCACCGGGGACGAUAAUGACGGUACCCGGAGAAGAAGCCCCGGCUAACUUCGUGCCAGCAGCCGCGGUAAUACGAAGGGGGCUAGCGUUGCUCGGAAUUACUGGGCGUAAAGGGCGCGUAGGCGGACAUUUAAGUCAGGGGUGAAAUCCCAGAGCUCAACUCUGGAACUGCCUUUGAUACUGGAUGUCUUGAGUGUGAGAGAGGUAUGUGGAACUCCGAGUGUAGAGGUGAAAUUCGUAGAUAUUCGGAAGAACACCAGUGGCGAAGGCGACAUACUGGCUCAUUACUGACGCUGAGGCGCGAAAGCGUGGGGAGCAAACAGG